AUUGAACGCUGGCGGCAUGCUUUACACAUGCAAGUCGAACGGUAACAGGGAGCUUGCUCCGCUGACGAGUGGCGAACGGGUGAGUAAUGUAUCGGAACGUACCCAAGAGUGGGGGAUAACGUAGCGAAAGUUACGCUAAUACCGCAUACGAUCUACGGAUGAAAGUGGGGGACCUUCGGGCCUCAUGCUCCUGGAGCGGCCGAUAUCUGAUUAGCUAGUUGGUGAGGUAAAGGCUCACCAAGGCGACGAUCAGUAGCUGGUCUGAGAGGACGACCAGCCACACUGGGGCUGGGACACGGCCCAGACUCCUACGGGAGGCAGCAGUGGGGAAUUUUGGACAAUGGGGGCGACCCUGAUCCAGCAAUGCCGCGUGAGUGAAGAAGGCCUUCGGGUUGUAAAGCUCUUUUGUCAGGGAAGAAACGGUGCGGGCUAAUAUCCCGCAUUAAUGACGGUACCUGAAGAAUAAGCACCGGCUAACUACGUGCCAGCCGCCGCCGUAACAC
rnacentral:rRNA from 1 species